rnacentral:rRNA from 1 species
GUUCACAGCAAGUAACAGUGCCUGGCCAAUCAUACCUGAUUCUUAAAAAAACCAAGCAGGAUCAGUCUUGUUUAGUAUGUGAAUGGGAGACCACCAAGUAAAUGCCAAGGCUGUGACCU